AGUGGCGAACGGGUGAGUAACACGUGAGCAACCUGCCCCUGACUCUGGGAUAAGCGCUGGAAACGGCGUCUAAUACUGGAUAUGUGACGUGACCGCAUGGUCUGCGUUUGGAAAGAUUUUUCGGUUGGGGAUGGGCUCGCGGCCUAUCAGCUUGUUGGUGAGGUAAUGGCUCACCAAGGCGUCGACGGGUAGCCGGCCUGAGAGGGUGACCGGCCACACUGGGACUGAGACACGGCCCAGACUCCUACGGGAGGCAGCAGUGGGGAAUAUUGCACAAUGGGCGGAAGCCUGAUGCAGCAACGCCGCGUGAGGGAUGACGGCCUUCGGGUUGUAAACCUCUUUUAGCAGGGAAGAAGCGAAAGUGACGGUACCUGCAGAAAAAGCGCCGGCUAACUACGUGCCAGCAGCCGCGGUAAUACGUAGGGCGCAAGCGUUAUCCGGAAUUAUUGGGCGUAAAGAGCUCGUAGGCGGUUUGUCGCGUCUGCUGUGAAAUCCCGAGGCUCAACCUCGGGCCUGCAGUGGGUACGGGCAGACUAGAGUGCGGUAGGGGAGAUUGGAAUUCCUGGUGUAGCGGUGGAAUGCGCAGAUAUCAGGAGGAACACCGAUGGCGAAGGCAGAUCUCUGGGCCGUAACUGACGCUGAGGAGCGAAAGGGUGGGGAGCAAACAGGCUUAGAUACCCUGGUAGUCCACCCCGUAAACGUUGGGAACUAGUUGUGGGGUCCAUUCCACGGAUUCCGUGACGCAGCUAACGCAUUAAGUUCCCCGCCUGGGGAGUACGGCCGCAAGGCUAAAACUCAAAGGAAUUGACGGGGACCCGCACAAGCGGCGGAGCAUGCGGAUUAAUUCGAUGCAACGCGAAGAACCUUACCAAGGCUUGACAU
rnacentral:rRNA from 1 species